rnacentral:rRNA from 1 species
GAGUUUGAUCAUGGCUCAGAUUGAACGCUGGCGGUAUGCUUAACACAUGCAAGUCGAACGCGAAAGCACCUUCGGGUGUAAGUAGAGUGGCGGACGGGUGAGUAAGGCAUGGGAAUCUGCCCUAUAGCGGGGGAUAACUUGGGGAAACCCAAGCUAAUACCGCAUACACCUACGGGUAAAAGAUGGCCUCUUCUUGAAAGCUAUUACUAUAGGAUGAGCCCAUGUAAGAUUAGCUAGUUGGUAGGGUAAAAGCCUACCAAGGCUACGAUCUUUAGCUGGUCUGAGAGGACGAUCAGCCACACUGGGACUGAGACACGGCCCAGACUCCUACGGGAGGCAGCAGUGGGGAAUAUUGGACAAUGGGGGCAACCCUGAUCCAGCAAUACCGCGUGUGUGAAGAAGGCCUGCGGGUUGUAAAGCACUUUUAUCUGUGAGGAAGGGUUUAAUGUUAAUACCAUUAGACAUUGACG